rnacentral:rRNA from 1 species
GCGUGAGUGAAGAAGGCCUUAGGGUUGUAAAGCUCUUUCACCGGGGACGAUAAUGACGGUACCCGGAGAAGAAGCCCCGGCUAACUCCGUGCCAGCAGCCGCGGUAAUACGGAGGGGGCUAGCGUUGUUCGGAAUUACUGGGCGUAAAGCGCGCGUAGGCGGACCAUUAAGUCAGGGGUGAAAGCCCGGAGCUCAACUCCGGAGGUGCCUUUGAUACUGAUGGUCUUGAGACCGGAAGAGGCGAGUGGAAUUCCGAGUGUAGAGGUGAAAUUCGU